rnacentral:rRNA from 1 species
AUGGCGGGGGGCGGUGACAAGCUGAUACUGCGGGGGCUGCAGUUCCACGGGUUCCACGGCGUGAAGCAGGAGGAGAAGAAGCUCGGCCAGAAGUUCGUCAUUGACGUCGACGCCUGGAUGGACCUCGCCGCCGCCGGGGACUCCGACGACAUCUCCCACACCGUCAGCUACAGCGACAUCUACAGGAUAGCCAAGGGUGUAGUAGAAGGUCCGUCGCGUAACCUUUUGGAGUCGGUGGCUCAAUCGAUUGCCAACACCACGCUGCUCAAGUUCCCUCAGAUCUCUGCUGUUCGAGUGAAGGUCGGGAAACCUCAUGUCGCGGUGCAAGGCGUCGUGGACUACUUGGGAGUGGAGAUACUGAGGCACAGAAAUGCAUGA